rnacentral:rRNA from 1 species
UACGUAGGUCCCGAGCGCUGUCCGGAUUUAUUGGGCGUAAAGCGAGCGCAGGUGGUUUAUUAAGUCUGGUGUAAAAGGCAGUGGCUCAACCAUUGUAUGCAUUGGAAACUGGUAGACUUGAGUGCAGGAGAGGAGAGUGGAAUUCCAUGUGUAGCGGUGAAAUGCGUAGAUAUAUGGAGGAACACUGGUGGCGAAAGCGGCUCUCUGGCCUGUAACUGACACUGAGGCUCGAAAGCGUGGGGAGCAAACAGG